CUAUACAAAUGAAAUAGGUGGCCAGUUUUAAGUAAGCCCAUUCAUAUCUGCACAUUUCCUGAAGCAAACAGCAAGCUAACAGUGGUCAGAACAUCAAGAGGGGUCCGAACAUAUUAAGGAUUUAGGUGGCAGCUCUGAGAAGGGAGAAUGGAGAAAAUGCAAGUAUUACGGUCCUUUGUUGCCCACUGAGUCUGGCUGGAAUAGAGAAGAAAAGAGCUUAGCAGAAGCCCUGACCAGCUAGGCCUAGUCACAAAAGAUGCUUUGUUACUCCUGAAAACAAACUUUUAAGUCUUAAAAUGGGCCUGAAAACUCCCUGCUAUUUGCAAAAUUAUGUAUGCAGGGACUUCAACAAGUUCACAGAAAAUAGAAUUUAAGAGAUAAGUCUAUUUUAGUACAAAAAAAAAAAAAGGCAAGAAAUCCAUGUAUGCAAAAAAAUGUUAUUUUGAAUUUAUUCCUUCAAGAGAUAAAGAGAUAGAGAUAGAGAUAUAUAUAGAGAGAGACAUCUAUCCACUGGAUCACUCCCAAAUGUCCACACUGGCCAGGACUAGGCAGGGCUGGCCCAAAGCCAUGAGCUCAAUCCAGGUCCCAAAUGUCAGGAACGCAACUACUUGAGCCUCACCAUUGCCUCCUAGAGUCUAAUCAGCAGGAAGCAAGAAUUCACAGCUGGAGUCAAGAAUGGAAUCUGAGCAUCCUAAUCACUAAGCUACACCUGCUGCCUACCAUGGAAAUCCCCAGGAAACAGUUCUCACACCUGACACCUACACCUUCCUCUGGUUCUCUUCUCGGUGAUGUCUUCUGGUCACGGGCCCCUGCGUGCAGCAAGUCCAGUAUACCAGAUUCAGAACACAAGAUGUCUUCUAGCCUGAAUGAUCUUCUGGUCCCCUGGAAAGCCUGCUGCUAGACAACAGAUAUGCUCCUUUGCCACAAUGCUGGCCCCAAAAAGUCACGACCUUGAGGCAGGAGACAAAAAGGGCUAAUUGGAGAAGCUGAGAAAAAAAAUUACAAGCUUAAAAACCCUGCACUUAGAGGCUGCAUACAGAUGUGAUAACGGCCAGAUGGCCUACACAGCAGGUGACUUCAACACCACACGCAGGGCUUCUCUCCCAAGACCAACUCCUGUAACAUCACAGCCCCGAUUAUCCUCCAGGCCUCAGUCUCAGUUCGGUCUGAGCUUUGAUCCUUGGCCUGCUUCUACCCCCUUAAAAACGGUUACUUUCUUUUCCUAUAAUAAACUUGUGCUGUUAA